GUGGUGCUGCAGGAGAAAAGCACUUUGGGGAUAACACCCAAGAACUGGCCCUACUUGUCAGAUGGUAUUUUUUGCAUGUACAUGUCUGGGGUCCCCACCACUGUGCUCCUAGGGAAAGGCGGUGUGGCUUUCUUGGCUGAAAGGGGGUGUGCGGGAGACACUCAUCAGAUAGGCGCGUCCGCAGCUGCUUAUGUAAUCCACGUUACCUAGGGAGGCGCACCCACCAGGCAGGCUGGAAACGACACUUCCUCCUCUGAAACGCGCUCCGAAUCGUAUCUCACUUUCAUCCAGCCGCCUCAGAGCAGCCGCAAGUCUCCGGGACAAACCGUUUCGCUGCAAAACUGGAAGAGGAGAAACGAAGGUGGCUGGGAUUUCUGGGGACACUUCCUAGGGGCUGGCCCCGUGUUACAAGCACUUCGCAUGAGGAACUGUGGAAAUGUGGGUUCCCGCCGCCAGCCUGCCAUCACCCAGUCCCACCCUCCACCCCGACUCUGGUGUUCGGUGAAGUCACGUGUCAGGUGAGAUUAGGCGGCAUUGAAGGUCCCUCCCAGAAGGGGAAUGCCAUUCACGUUGGCCACAGAAAGCAGCAACUCCGCGGUCUAUUUAAAAAAAAAAAAAAAAAAAAAGAUUACGGAUCAUGAGAAGCAUGAGAAGGAUGCUAAAGACCAAAAUUAGUCCUGAUGGUCUGUGUUUGUGAGUCGGAUUAGACUAGGGGACUCUAACUUGGAUCUCCACCUUCACCGCCCAGCAUGGUGGCUGUGGGCUAUCCUGAGAGCUGGAAAUGUGGCUUCAUGCAAAUUACCCUGUGCUGGUGUGCUGAAGGCAUCCCCACACCGAACUUCAACAUCUUAGUACCAUAAAAAAGAAUCUGAAAUAUCUUGUUAGUAAUUUUAUCGUCCUGAUCACACGUUGAAAUGAUCAUAUUUUUGGCAUUAGGUCAACGGAGUACUAAAAUUAACGUCACCUACUUCUUUCUACUCUUUCUAGUGUGGCUACCACAACAUUUUAAAUGACUUAAAACUUAAAGUUUUGUGGUUCCCAUUUUAUUUCCAUUGGACGGCAUCACCUUCGGAAGCCUACGUGGGAAACGGGCAAUUUGCUCUGGACCCGACACUUUCUGCCUCUGUUCUCGAGUGUUCCCACCUGUUAAAUGACAAGAUAGAGUUUGUACUAAAUUUCUUUUGGGGUUCCUUCUGGAAGAAUAUUCCCUGAUUCUGAGAACAGUAAUUGGGGGGAGGAGGGAUGCUUGCCAUGGUGUCUGGAAAGCUGUUUCCCGGGAGAGGAAAUUCUUCUAACUCUAUUUCUGCCCAGGAGCCAUGAAGUUUUAGAAUCCUAAGGAUCUUUAAAUAUCAUCGUUGGACUUUCAAGUCACCCAGGCUGCCAGGCCCUGCCAGGUGAAGAAUUGAAGCCCAGAGAGGCUCUGAGACCACCUAAAGCCACACAGUAGCUGUGAGACAAGCUCCUUCUUGAAACCCUUGGUGUGGUCUCUGGCCCAGCAGCAGCUGCUUCAUAAUCUCAGGCUGGGCCCCAGAUCAGACUGAAUUGGAAUCUGCAUUUUUAUCAAGAUCCCAAAGGUAGAGAAGACAUAGGAUGCUGGACCCCAAGCCCCACAUGCUGGCAGAUGAAGACCAAGGUUUCCGGAAAUUCAACAAAUGUUUACUGAACCUCUGUUUUGCCCAGCACCUGGAGCCGAUGCCCCUGCUUUUCUUCCUGAGGGUUUGAGGGGCUUAUGCUUUGUAGCCCCAGUCACCUGCGCUUCAAGCAAAAAGCAGCCCCUUCACGAUCCCCGUCCCGCCCCAUGGGUUCCAGUGUUCCUACUUACAUACAGGAGUCCAGGAGAAAUGAGAAAUGGAAACAGGUACGCCCUGGGAGUUUGGCUUUUCAGACCCAGGACAAACAGGAUAGAGAUAGGUUUUGUGAACGUCUGCAUGGGAAUCUGUAACCAUCAGUCCCUCCGUCCCCAGCCGGGAGCUUGCCUUCAUGUCUCUUAGAACUGUGAUAGAACCACGCUUUAUAGAAUGGUCUCUAAUCAACAGCUCUCCAGUCAUUUUUUUUUUUGAAGACUGUCCCUUGUCUGAGCUUACCAAGGAAAGCCACAUUCUGCAGACAUACCAUUCCGCCCGGCAGUGGGCAGUCCAGUUGUACGGUUUCAAGGCAGAAAAGGAGCUAGAAGGACAAAUGAAAAAGCACUGUUCCCAAGAGACGGAGAGCCUUGGAAAUGGGAGGCGGGUGGGGGACAAUGUGGCUUUAAGUCAAUGUGUCUCCUGCUCGACCCUCUCUGGGGAGACAUGCCUUCAUUUUCUUAAAUCCCCCCCCUUCCUCUUCUUUUUUCUACCUUAUCUCACUAUCCCUACUGGAGUCUCAGUUCAGUUCCACAGCUGGAAACAGCAGGUGGACGGCAGCAAUGGUGCGUGUGGUUCUUCAGGCUGAGAGUCUCAAAAAGAAGCAUCAUCUGAAAAAUCAGCCUCCGCUGUGGGCCAUGGUGGUGCUGGGCGUGGAGCCAGAUAGUGCCGGGGUCCAGCAUCUACUCCAUGUCUGUGCUAUUCUGGGUGUGGACCGUGUGGCUGGGUAAGUCUGAGCUGUGGGCUGAACCCCUGCUGUGUGCAAAACCCUCUCCAAGGCCAGGCCCGUCAACCACCAUAUCAUGCCCUUAGAUUAGGCCCCUUGACCCCCAGUCAACACGAAGCACAGUGUCCACAAGCCUCAGCUUCCUCUCUUUGUUCAGCAGAUCAGGCCUUAGGAACAGCAUGUGCAAAGACCCUGAGGCACAAAAGCCUUCUGUUCUUUUGGACCAAGUGGAGAAAGAGGACGAGGAUGACUAUAGACCCAGGUGCUAGGAAGGGGCGAGCCAGCCCAGUGAGCUGUGUUCUGUGUGGGUAGACCGUUUAAUUUUGUAAUGAACAGAGGGAAGCAGUGGCUUGGAGAGGUUCUGAGGGUCAAGGUUGUUCAACGGGUCGGUAGGUUCCAAGGUGAUGACUGGGACUCUGUGAUUUGGAAGCCCAUGCUCUUUUUGCCACACGUCACUGCUCCUCCACCCUGAGACCUGGACCCCUUCUCAGAAUAUGCCUCAACGACAUCGGGCUGAGCCUGGAAGCUUGGACCCCAGGCAUCCUCACUGCAAAAUGAAGGGGACAGAUCUGUACUCCACGGAUGUGCCCCCCCAGACAUGCCCUUAAACGUGCUCUGUGGAUGCAAACCAGAGAUAGGCCCUGCAGGUAUGCUUUGCAGACACACGCUGUCAGCAUGCCCCAUGGAUACAUUUCGUGGAUGCACGCCAUAGACGGGUACCACAGUUGUGCACUGUGGACACGCACCACUGACAAGCUUCAUGGAUGUGCUCUGGGGAUAUACACUACAGACAGACUUCAUGGGCAGGCACUGUGGCAAUGGACCCGGAGGUGGCUUGGGCUGGUACACCGAUGAACAUCUAAAAAAUUCCAAUUGCUACAAAUUUAUUUCAGUGCAAGUUAGAACUACCUGUAUGUGUGUGGUAAUGAGAAAUCAAAUCCACGCUUUCAAGAAUGAAUGCUAUGGCAUUCCCCUUUAAAUAUUACCCAUCUCAGUUUAAAAUAGGCGUUGAUUUAAGGCGAGAUACUCAGGCAGGUGCUGUGCAGAUCUUGAGGCAAGUGGUCCACAAAAACCUUUGUCUGGAGAGAUCAGGAGUCCUCUCUCCCACCUCCGGGAUUCUUUGGUCUGUGAUGAACCACGGACUCCGAGGACUGGGACUGGGAAAGAUGGGGGCUCAUGAUGGAGAAAGCAAGCCUAUUUAAAGGCACAGGCUGAAUCACGCAGGUCUGGACCUGAUCCAUGGGAGCCUUCUUGCCUUUGCAUGUGUGACCAGGUAUACAACCCAUCAUCAAACACCAGCCUGAUUAUGGGGCUUAGGAAGCAGGAAGCUGCCCCCCCUAGGAGGAUGAGCCUUGCAGGUGGGAACCUGAUCUUGGCAUGUCAUGUCUAGCGCCUAGGUGCGAAAUACAGUCAUUUCUAUGUCUGUUAGGUUGCUCUGGGAAGUAUCAUUUUCUAGCUGGAACCCAGUCCCCUCCUUUGAGGGACGAGAGAGCAGAAAGCUGGAGAAGGUCCUCUGUCUCCUGGUCGGAGCCAAAAGAAGCAAGGCCCUCCUCCCCACCAGGCAGCCAGGACCCACCUUGACAACUAAACCACUCAUUAUUUUUUAUCUUCUGGAUGGUUUGAAUAACUAUUAUUAUGCACACCAUUUUUUUUUCUUCAAAAGAACAUGUUUAUUACCAAACCUCAUUCAAUUGCCUGUGUCUUGGGCUGGUUCCCCUUCCCUCCCUUGGAGGGAAGGAAGGAAUUUGGCUGGACCGAGAAGCGUUCUCCUCCCACACCAUUCCCUAAUGGUCUGUGUCCAAAACAGGGUGCUAGGGAUUUCUGGGCAACCAGUCUGACUGGGACGGGGUUUCCAGAUGACUCAUGGGGCAGUGGUGAACACAGGUGACCCCAGGAAUGCAGGCACAGCCCUUCUGGGGAGGCAGAAGAGGGUGGACCCCAGGGAGAGACAGCGAGGGAGGGAUUUGGGGAGCACAGACUCUGGAACUGGCCUGCUCGGGUUUGGAUCCCAGCUUUGUUGUUUGCUGUGUGAUCUUGGACCAGUUAAAGAGCCUCUCUGGGCUUCACUUCCCUCCUCUAAAAGUGGGAAUUUUAUUUUAUUUUAUUUUUAAAGAUUUUAUUUAUUUAUUUGACAGAGAGAGAGAGAGAG